GACGAACGCUGGCGGCGUGCUUAACACAUGCAAGUCGAACGAAGAGCGAUGGAAGCUUGCUUCUAUCAAUCUUAGUGGCGAACGGGUGAGUAACGCGUAAUCAACCUGCCCUUCAGAGGGGGACAACAGUUGGAAACGACUGCUAAUACCGCAUACGAUCUAAUCUCGGCAUCGAGGAAAGAUGAAAGGUGGCCUCUAUUUAUAAGCUAUCACUGAAGGAGGGGAUUGCGUCUGAUUAGCUAGUUGGAGGGGUAACGGCCCACCAAGGCGAUGAUCAGUGGCCGGUCUGAGAGGAUGAACGGCCACAUUGGGACUGAGACACGGCCCAGACUCCUACGGGAGGCAGCAGUGGGGAAUCUUCCGCAAUGGACGAAAGUCUGACGGAGCAACGCCGCGUGAGUGAUGACGGCCUUCGGGUUGUAAAGCUCUGUUAAUCGGGACGAAAGGCCUUCUUGCGAACAGUUAGAAGGAUUGACGGUACCGGAAUAGAAAGCCACGGCUAACUACGUG
rnacentral:rRNA from 1 species